rnacentral:rRNA from 2 species
GGCUAUCUGCAGUCGAACGCGUCUCCGUUGAUGAUUUNAGGUGCUUGCACNUGAAAGAUUUAACAUUGAGACGAGUGGCGAACUGGUGAGUAACACGUGGGUAACCUGCCCUUGAAGUAGGGGAUAACACUUGGAAACAGGUGCUAAUACCGUAUAACAACCAAAACCACCUGGUUUUGGUUUAAAAGACGGCUUCGGCUGUCACUUUAGGAUGGACCCGCGGCGUAUUAGCUUGUUGGUAAGGUAACGGCCUACCAAGGCGAUGAUACGUAGCCGACCUGAGAGGGUAAUCGGCCACAUUGGGACUGAGACACGGCCCAAACUCCUACGGGAGGGCAGCAGUAANAA